AGUGAGUUAGUAGUUUGCUGAAUCACUGAAGGGUGUAAUGAUUUACACCAGCAUGCUUGCCAUGUGGGAUCCUUCAGUCAGAGGAACACUCACUUUUUU
rnacentral:sRNA from 12 species